rnacentral:rRNA from 1 species
GCCCAGCCUCCUACGGGAGGCAGCAGUGGGGAAUAUUGGGCAAUGGGCGCAAGCCUGACCCAGCAACGCCGCGUGAAGGAAGAAGGCUUUCGGGUUGUAAACUUCUUUUCUCAGGGACGAAUAGAUGACGGUACCUGAGGAAUAAGCCACGGCUAACUACGUGCCAGCAGCCGCGGUAAUACGUAGGUGGCAAGCGUUAUCCGGAUUUACUGGGUGUAAAGGGCGUGUAGGCGGGGACGCAAGUCAGAUGUGAAAACCACGGGCGCAACCUGUGGCCUGCAUUUGAAACUGUGUUUCUUGAGUACUGGAGAGGCAGACGGAAUUCCUAGUGUAGCGGUGAAAUGCGUAGAUAUUAGGAGGAACACCAGUGGCGAAGGCGGACUGCUGGACAGCAACUGACGCUGAGGCGCGAAAGCGUGGGGAGCAAACAGGAUUAGAUACCCUUGUAGC